GCCAGGUGCAGUGGUGCACACCUGUAGUCCCAGUUACUCAGGAGGCUAAGGCAGGAGGAUUGCUUGAGCCCAGGAGGUCAAGGCUGCAGUGACCUAUGAUCAUAUCACUGCACUCCAGCCUGGGCAACAGAGCAAGCCCCUGUCUCUA
ensembl:misc_RNA Metazoa_SRP Metazoan signal recognition particle RNA